rnacentral:rRNA from 1 species
CCAGACUCCUACGGGAGGCAGCAGUGGGGGAUAUUGCACAAUGGGGGGAACCCUGAUGCAGCGACGCCGCGUGGGUGAAGGAGCGUUUCGGCGCGUAAAGCCCUAUCGGCAGGGAAGAAGGAGGACGGUACCUGACUAAGAAGCCCCGGCUAACUACGUGCCAGCAGCCGCGGUAAUACGUAGGGGGCAAGCGUUAUCCGGAUUCACUGGGCGUAAAGGGAGCGCAGGCGGCACGGCAAGUCUGAUGUGAAAACCCGGGGCUCAACCCCGGGACUGCAUUGGAAACUGCCGGGCUGGAGUGUCGGAGGGGGAAGCGGAAUUCCUGGUGUAGCGGUGAAAUGCGUAGAUAGCAGGAGGAACACCGGUGGCGAAGGCGGCUUACUGGACGACAACUGACGCUGAGGCUCGAAAGCGUGGGGAGCAAACAGGAUUAGAUACCCUUGUAGUA